GACGAACGCUGGCGGCGUGCCUAAUACAUGCAAGUAGAACGCUGAAGGAGGAGCUUGCUUCUCUGGAUGAGUUGCGAACGGGUGAGUAACGCGUAGGUAACCUGCCUGGUAGCGGGGGAUAACUAUUGGAAACGAUAGCUAAUACCGCAUAAUAGUAGAUGUUGCAUGACAUUUGCUUAAAAGGUGCAAUUGCAUCACUACCAGAUGGACCUGCGUUGUAUUAGCUAGUUGGUGAGGUAACGGCUCACCAAGGCAACGAUACAUAGCCGACCUGAGAGGGUGAUCGGCCACACUGGGACUGAGACACGGCCCAGACUCCUACGGGAGGCAGCAGUAGGGAAUCUUCGGCAAUGGACGGAAGUCUGAACGAGCAACGCCGCGUGAGUGAAGAAGGUUUUCGGAUCGUAAAGCUCUGUUGUAAGAGAAGAACGAGUGUGAGAGUGGAAAGUUCACACUGUGACGGUAUCUUACCAGAAAGGGACGGCUAACUACGUG
rnacentral:rRNA from 1 species